rnacentral:rRNA from 1 species
AGCAGCCGCGGUAAUUCCAGCUCCAAUAGCGUAUAUUAAAGUUGUUGCAGUUAAAAAGCUCGUAGUUGAAUUUCGGGAUUAGUAAGUUGGUCGUGCCUCUGGUAUGUACUGGCUUUACUGGUUCCUCCUUCUUGAAGAACUGUAAUGUCAUUAAUUUGGUGUUGCAGGGAAACAGGACUGUUACUUUGAAAAAAUUAGAGUGUUUAAAGCAGGCUAACGCUUGAAUACAUUAGCAUGGAAUAAUGAAAUAGGACGUUUGAUCCUAUUUUGUUGGUUUCUAGGAUUGACGUAAUGAUUAAUAGGGAUAGUUGGGGGCAUUAGUAUUCAAUUGUCAGAGGUGAAAUUCUUGGAUUUAUUGAAGACUAACUACUGCGAAAGCAUUUGCCAAGGAUGUUUUCAUUAAUCAAGAACGAAAGUUAGGGGAUCGAAGACGAUCAGAUACCGUCGUAGUCUUAACCAUAAACUAUGCCGACUAGGGAUCGGAUGAUGUUAAUUUUUUAAUGUACUCAUUCGGCGCCUU